UACGUAGGGGCAAGCGUUGUCCGGAUUUAUUGGGCGUAAAGAGCGUGUAGGCGGCUAGGUAGGUCCGUUGUGAAAACUCGAGGCUCAACCUCGAGACGUCGAUGGAAACCAUCUAGCUAGAGUCCGGAAGAGGAGAGUGGAAUUCCUGGUGUAGCGGUGAAAUGCGCAGAUAUCAGGAGGAACACCAAUUGCGAAGGCAGCUCGCUGGGACGUUACUGACGCUGAGACGCGAAAGCGUGGGGAGCAAACAGG
rnacentral:rRNA from 1 species